rnacentral:rRNA from 1 species
CGGCGAGUGAAGCGGCAACAGCUCAAAUUUGAAAUCUGGCCCUUUCAGGGUCCGAGUUGUAAUUUGUAGAGGAUGUUUCGGGUGUGGCUCCGGUCUAAGUUCCUUGGAACAGGACGUCAUAGAGGGUGAGAAUCCCGUAUGUGACUGGUAGCCUACGCCCAUGUGAAACUCCUUCGACGAGUCGAGUUGUUUGGGAAUGCAGCUCAAAAUGGGUGGUAAAUUUCAUCUAAAGCUAAAUAUUGGCCAGAGACCGAUAGCGCACAAGUAGAGUGAUCGAAAGAUGAAAAGCACUUUGGAAAGAGAGUUAAACAGUACGUGAAAUUGUUGAAAGGGAAGCGCUUGCAACCAGACUUGCAUGUAGCUGAUCAACCGGUGUUCUCACCGGUGCACUCAGUUGCGUUCAGGCCAGCAUCGGUUUCGACGGUUGGAUAAAGGCCCUGGGAAUGUAGCUCCUCUCGGGGAGUGUUAUAGCCCAGGGUGCAAUGCAGCCUGUUGGGACCGAGGACCGCGCUUCGGCUAGGAUGCUGGCGUAAUGGUUGUAAGCGACCCGUCUUGAAACACGGACCAAGGAGUCUAACAUCUAUGCGAGUGUUUGGGUGUCAAACCCAUACGCGUAAUGAAAGUGAACGGAGGUGAGAACCCUUAAGGGUGCAUCAUCGACCGAUCCUGAUGUCUUCGGAUGGAUUUGAGUAAGAGCAUAGCUGUUGGGACCCGAAAGAUGGUGAACUAUGCCUGAAUAGGGUGAAGCCAGAGGAAACUCUGGUGGAGGCUCGCAGCGGUUCUGACGUGCAAAUCGAUCGUCAAAUUUGGGUAUAG